ensembl:sense_overlapping Gm15751 predicted gene 15751
UUUUGGAGCUCCGCCCUCUCUUUGGGACCCUGCCCCUGAAGACCCGCCCAGCGGGGGGUUCCUCGCGCUCCCGGCGAGAUACUGCCCGGCUUUUGUGUCGGUGCGCGGUCCCAAAGGGUACUUAGGUAGGUCUUGAGGGCGGGGAUGGGGUGGUGAGGUCGCGCGGCCUGUGGCGCCUGGAUCCCGUUGCCGGGAAGGAACCGCGUUCUGCCGGUGCCUCUGCUGGAGGGCUUUCUGUUGCCCGCCCCUCUGUCGCACGUCUGGGCUCGGCGGUUGCCCGGACACACCGCGCUGUGGGCUCCGACCACCGCAGCCCUCUAGAUUCGGGUUGAAAGGAUGGAGCUACCUGGGCCCUUUACCCAGAGCCCGAGGCUGCCGACACCCCGAGGGCGAGGGCGCGGAGAGAGGACCCGGUCCCGCGGGACAGUGAUUGGGCUCUUUUGUCUGUGCUUCAGCCAACUUGGUUUCUGCCUUCUGGGAGAGCUGGCGCACCUCCUGUACCUGUGACUUCACCAACUGGAUGUGAUUCCUGGCAGUUAUGGAGGCCUGAUCUGCUCCUAUCAAAAGACAGACAGUUGCACUGAGCACCACAGUAAGGACAGAAGUCACACAUGAAGGCCUGAGGCUGGCGGCUCAGCCCUCAUGAGAUUACUUCCCUGACAUCCUAUCUCCUUUGAGGGGUCAGGGUGUUAGAUGCUGGAGGGCUGACUGGAUCCAGGUUGAGGAACACUCGUGCUAAAGGCUCACACAACCUUUACAACUCAAGCUCCAGGGGUUCUGAUUUCUGGACGCUGGGGACACCUGCAUUCACAUGCACCUAAAGGUUAAGGCAAAACCCUGUGGUCUCCCCAUACACCCCAGGCUGGCCCUGAAUUCUCCUGUCUCACCCACCAUGCCCAGGAGGAGCUACAUUUGCACUGCUGUUAGGUGUAGGUUCAGCUGUCGCUGCAUCUGAUGUGCACUCUAUUUACAAGUUAGUCACACUCCACUGUUAGAUUCGAGCCACCCUGGGUUCAGCUUGGUGUCUGUGCUGUUGACUAGGUUAGCCAGGCCAGCCCUCACGAGAGCUCCAGGAGCGCAGCUCAUUUCUACAUGGGUGCUAGACAUCUGAGCCUGGGGCAUCGUUAUGUUUGAACAACAAGCAUGUUACCGACUGAGCCAUCUCUCCUGGAAUUUUAGUUUUUGAAUAUCUAACUCUUCCCCCAAAAUAACCGGGGCUUGGAGAAUUUCAACUUUCAUUAUUAUUAGUCUUCUAUAGAUUCCUUAGUUCUUUAACCUAUUUUGCAUUUAUUAAUAAGAUUAAUGUGGUCUUUGGAUGCUGCUUUUAUUUAACAUUUUUCUCUUAAGGGAGAAACCAAAUGCUUUUGUACCUAGAUUAUAUGUUUUAUUGAAAUGCUGUUCUUUUGGGAACGCCAUCUAGUUUUUAGCUGUGCAAAGUGUCAGAUGGUGCUAAUGUUUAAAUAGCUUACUUCAAAUAGUCUCUCAAGGUGAAGCAGAGUGUGCAUGUGGAAGUCAGUUAAUGGGAACCAGGUCUCUCUCUCUCCAUUUGGGUCCCAGGGACUUGGUUCAGGUGGCCAGGCUUGGCGGCCUUUACCCGCUGAGCUCACUCAGCCCAGUUUCUCCAUUUUCUGUGGUGCUACGCAAAUGGCAGAGCUCACAGUUUACAUCUGUAUGCACAGCUGGCUCCUUUUCAGUUCUGGCAAUACUAUAUCCCUGCAGUGACUGGUCUGAGCACCUUGUAAACAUUUCAGAAAGUGUCUCCUUGAGCGACAAACGAUGUCCUUUAUUGUAAAGUAUCACUAGUGUGAUUAGACCACAGUGCCUUUAAAGACUGUCACAACCAAAAUCCAGUCCAGAUGCCCAUCUGUCUUCAGAGUUCUC